CAACCAAACCGGGUCUAAGAUGAAAAAAAUAGAGAAAAAUUCAGUCACCGUCCCCAAACUAUGCUGCCAAGGUCAAUUUGAUACCCGAACUCUCAAAAGUAUCAAUGUGAUACCCAAAGACCUAUUUUGAUAUCAACGUGAUACUUCCGUCCAAAAUUCCUAACGGCUCUGUCUGUUUGCUGAUGUGGUAAGGGUAAAAUUGUCUUUCUCAACUAAUUAAUUAUAAUAAAAAAAAAUUUUAAAAAGAAAAAACAUUAAAAAAGAAAAAAAGAAAAAAAUGAGAUCGAGCUCUGUCUCUCUCUCUUCCUUUGCCAAUCUGAUCCUCUCUCCUUUCUAUCACAAUUGGUUAUUUUUCUGGGAAUGGAUUUGUGGGUUUACAAAGAGCAGCCGAAAUGGAGAAUUUUUUUUUUAAUCGAAAGCGUUUGUGGCUUAUGAAGAACAGUCGGAGCAGCGGGGAUCGUCGCCGGUGUCGGCGACAAGGAGGAGGCUCUGAUGUCCUGCGCAACCAACUGGGAGACCGGUUCGCAACUCCAUCUCCACUUCCGUCGUCGUCCCCACCAAGCUCAGCCACCUCUUCUCCUCCUUAUCCUCCUCCACCACUCCCACCAGUAAGCCCCGCCAUAGCUGCAGCUUCCCAACCCCAAACGGCGCCGUGACGCCGCGCCAUCGGCUACCGCAGCUCGACCUGGAGCUUCUCUCCCUCAAGAGCUCCGAGUCCUACACCUCCCUCAAGGACCUCCUCCCCUCCUCCUCAAUCCAUUUUCAAAGAUUUGUACUAUUUUUCUUUGUUAACAUUGAAGAGAAGCAGCCUUGAUGGUGGCGGUGGCCGUGCGUUCAUCGACGGCUUGGAGAAGCAGAACGGCGAGCUUGUGGAGGGAGGACCAGCCGCUGGGAGGCUCGGAGAAGGCGGCAGAGACAAGAUCGGAGACAAGGUAGAGAAGAUCGUUCUCUGGAACAUGGAGAAUGCUUGGAGCCUUGGACGCAAAAAGAAGAGCUUGAUCGUUAAAAGUGGAGGAACAAAUGCAAGAGGAAGGAAAAGAGAGACUAAAAAUAACAUAAAAGCAUGACAGGAAGGUGAUACACCAGACAAGGAAAAGAGGGAGAGUGUGCAAGCAUGCGAAAAAGAAAUUGUAAACAAAGAAAAAGGGAAGAUGUGGCAGACAAUGGGGAAGAUGUGGGGAGAAGAAAAAGGAGGGAAUAACUAUAAAAAAAAAAAACAAGAA